rnacentral:rRNA from 1 species
AACGAACGCUGGCGGCAUGCCUAACACAUGCAAGUCGAACGAUGCCUUCGGGCAUAGUGGCGCACGGGUGCGUAACGCGUGGGAAUCUGCCUUUCGGUUCGGAAUAACUCAGGGAAACUUGAGCUAAUACCGGAUAACGUCGCAAGACCAAAGAUUUAUCACCGAAAGAUGAGCCCGCGUAGGAUUAGCUAGUUGGUGAGGUAAAGGCUCACCAAGGCGACGAUCCUCAGCUGGUCUGAGAGGAUGAUCAGCCACACUGGGACUGAGACACGGCCCAGACUCCUACGGGAGGCAGCAGUGGGGAAUAUUGGACAAUGGGCGAAAGCCUGAUCCAGCAAUGCCGCGUGAGUGAUGAAGGCCUUAGGGUUGUAAAGCUCUUUUACCCGGGAAGAUAAUGACGGUACCGGGAGAAUAAGCCCCGGCUAACUCCGUG